UCCGGAAUUACUGGGCGUACAGGGAGCGUAGGCGGUUCUGUAAGCCCUCUGUGAAAUCUCCAGGCUUAACCUGGAACAGUCGGAGGGGACUGCUGGGCUAGAGGACGGGAGAGGAGCGCGGAAUUCCCGGUGUAGCGGUGAAAUGCGUAGAGAUCGGGAGGAAGGCCGGUGGCGAAGGCGGCGCUCUGGAACGUUUCUGACGCUGAGGCUCGAAAGCGUGGGGAGCAAACAGG
rnacentral:rRNA from 1 species